rnacentral:rRNA from 1 species
CAUGCNAGUCGAGGGGCAGCAUGGUCUUAGCUUGCUAAGGCCGAUGGCGACCGGCGCACGGGUGAGUAACACGUAUCCAACCUGCCGUCUACUCUUGGACAGCCUUCUGAAAGGAAGAUUAAUACAAGAUGGCAUCAUGAGUCCGCAUGUUCACAUGAUUAAAGGUAUUCCGGUAGACGAUGGGGAUGCGUUCCAUUAGAUAGUAGGCGGGGUAACGGCCCACCUAGUCUUCGAUGGAUAGGGGUUCUGAGAGGAAGGUCCCCCACAUUGGAACUGAGACACGGUCCAAACUCCUACGGGAGGCAGCAGUGAGGAAUAUUGGUCAAUGGGCGAGAGCCUGAACCAGCCAAGUAGCGUGAAGGAUGACUGCCCUAUGGGUUGUAAACUUCUUUUAUAAAGGAAUAAAGUCGGGUAUGNAUACCCGUUUGCAUGUNCUUUAUGAAUAAGGAUCGGCUAACUCCGUGCCAGCAGCCGCGGUAAUACGGAGGAUCCGAGCGUUAUCCGGAUUUAUUGGGUUUAAAGGGAGCGUAGAUGGAUGUUUAAGUCAGUUGUGAAAGUUUGCGGCUCAACCGUAAAAUUGCAGUUGAUACUGGAUAUCUUGAGUGCAGUUGAGGCAGGCGGAAUUCGUGGUGUAGCGGUGAAAUGCUUAGAUAUCACGAAGAACUCCGAUUGCGAAGGCAGCCUGCUAAGCUGCAACUGACAUUGAGGCUCGAAAGUGUGGGUAUCAAACAGGAUUAGAUACCCUGGUAGUCCACACGGUAAACGAUGAAUACUCGCUGUUUGCGAUAUACGGCAAGCGGCCAAGCGAAAGCGUUAAGUAUUCCACCUGGGGAGUACGCCGGCAACGGUGAAACUCAAAGGAAUUGACGGGGGCCCGCACAAGCGGAGGAACAUGUGGUUUAAUUCGAUGAUACGCGAGGAACCUUACCCGGGCUUAAAUUGCAGAUGAAUUACGGUGAAAGCCGUAAGCCGCAAGGCAUCUGUGAAGGUGCUGCAUGGUUGUCGUCAGCUCGUGCCGUGAGGUGUCGGCUUAAGUGCCAUAACGAGCGCAACCCUUGUUGUCAGUUACUAACAGGUUCCGCUGAGGACUCUGACAAGACUGCCAUCGUAAGAUGUGAGGAAGGUGGGGAUGACGUCAAAUCAGCACGGCCCUUACGUCCGGGGCUACACACGUGUUACAAUGGGGGGUACAGAGGGCCGCUACCACGCGAGUGGAUGCCAAUCCCAAAAACCUCUCUCAGUUCGGACUGGAGUCUGCAACCCGACUCCACGAAGCUGGAUUCGCUAGUAAUCGCGCAUCAGCCACGGCGCGGUGAAUACGUUCCCGGGCCUUGUACACACCGCCCGUCAAGCCAUGGGAGCCGGGGGUACCUGAAGUGCGUAACC